GGGGCUAUAGCUCAGUGGCAGAGCACUUGCCUAGCAUGUAUGAGGUACUGGCUUGAUCCCUAGCACCA
rnacentral:tRNA from 1 species